rnacentral:rRNA from 1 species
UAGCGUUGCUCGGAAUCACUGGGCGUAAAGCGCACGUAGGCGGACUCUUAAGUCGGGGGUGAAAUCCUGGAGCUCAACUCCAGAACUGCCUUCGAUACUGAGAGCCUUGAGUCCGGGAGAGGUGAGUGGAACUGCGAGUGUAGAGGUGAAAUUCGUAGAUAUUCGCAAGAACACCAGUGGCGAAGGCGGCUCACUGGCCCGGUACUGACGCUGAGGUGCGAAAGCGUGGGGAGC